AGAACCUUCAUGAAACUUGUGGAAGCUAAUGAAAGGUCUCAUCCAACCAAUGUGUAAUCUUCGCAAGAAAAUGAGCCCAUGAAUUGUAUAUUCUUAAAUGAUUGAGUUCACUUGGUUUGUUGACCUAUUCCUAAAAGGAUAAUGACUCUCCCUUCUCUAAAGGCUACGCUUGGAAAGUCGUAAUAAACAAGA